AUUGAACGCUGGCGGCAGGCCUAACACAUGCAAGUCGAGCGGAUGAAGGGAGCUUGCUCCUGGAUUCGGCGGCGGACGGGUGAGUAAUGCCUAGGAAUCUGCCUGGUAGUGGGGGAUAACGUCCGGAAACGGGCGCUAAUACCGCAUACGUCCUGAGGGAGAAAGUGGGGGAUCUUCGGACCUCACGCUAUCAGAUGAGCCUAGGUCGGAUUAGCUAGUUGGUGGGGUAAAGGCCUACCAAGGCGACGAUCCGUAACUGGUCUGAGAGGAUGAUCAGUCACACUGGAACUGAGACACGGUCCAGACUCCUACGGGAGGCAGCAGUGGGGAAUAUUGGACAAUGGGCGAAAGCCUGAUCCAGCCAUGCCGCGUGUGUGAAGAAGGUCUUCGGAUUGUAAAGCACUUUAAGUUGGGAGGAAGGGCAGUAAGCUAAUACCUAGCUGUUUUGACGUUACCAACAGAAUAAGCACCGGCUAACUUCGUG
rnacentral:rRNA from 1 species